CUUUCAACUCACAUCUGGUCCAUGAUAUGCUUAUUCAUGGAAUAAAAUGUUCGAAGAAAAAUGAGCUACGGGUCAUGUUUCACGACAGGCCUCUCUAUUUUGACUUGAGGGAGUUCGCACUCAUGACUGAACUAAAUUGCGGCCUCAACCCACCAGUGUAUAAUUGAAGGAGGCUACCAGAAGUAAGAGUGUGAAAGAUCUGGUUGAAAGGGUCCAUGCCGACAAUCUGAGUGUGGAUCAAGAAUUCCUACUGAAGAUUAAAAAAAAAUCCAAAGGAAUUCACGCUAGCAGAUACGGUUAAGCUGAUCUUGGUCUGGUUUGUGCAAUAUGUUUCAAUGGCUGCUGACACACACAAGAAAGUCCCUCUUUGAGAAUUAUCCAUGGGGUCGCAUGAACCCUUUGACGGGCUAUAGACUAGCCUUAAAAAAUCAACUGGAAAAAGGUGCAUAAGAGAUUUGUCAUAAACCUUGAACAAAAGGAAAAACCUCACAGAUAUCAAAUUCCUGCAUUCUUGGUAUCACUUCACCAGGCUUGGGUAUUUGAAGCUAUACCAUCGAUUGAACGUAUAGUCGUCGGUGCAAAUUCGAAGGUACUGCCAAGGAUGCUGAGAUGCAGUGUCAUUAAGAGCCACCCUCAGGCACCAAAUAGAUCAGUUUGACGCAAAACAUGUGAAGCCGUUGUAAUAUCAAGUUUUUUAUUUUCAAGAUUCGUUUAAUGUUGUUUGAUUCGACGUAGAUAUUAUUCUGUGUCAUGACUGCAGACGGGUUGUGCAUCCUUCCCUUGUCCCUACCUCUCGCGAGGUGAUUCAAAAGUACAUGAGGGACUUUGUGCCGCAUGAAGUUGAUAUACCAGAUGACAAGAUAGAUAGGUUAAGGAAGAGUUGGAAGGGGUGACAGCCUUGUCAAAACUGUCUGCUGGUCUGCAAACUCUUCCAAUAUCCCUACCACAGCAAAUCCAAUCUGGAGGGGGUGAUGGUGUAGAACCUGGUGAGGGUUCGGUAGGGGGAGGAGUCAAUGUUGCCUGUGAGGAAGGGGGUUCAAGCGGUGUAGGUACAAUAGGGGCCAGAGGCAUUUUGUUCCACCGUGGCCCUGAUCCAGAGAUACCCAGUUGGUUGUUGGGGAGGAUGCAGCUAAUGUUUGAGCAGAUGCUUGAGGGCCUGAAGAAAGCUAGUGAAGAGAACCAAAAGAGAGGCAAUACAAGAAGAUUCUUGGUCCCCUAGCUGAAGAUAGGCAUGCAUAUGUGGAAGAGAAAGAGAAAAUACAUAUUGACAAGCUUGAUGAGGCAAAUAAGAAGUUUCUGGCGGGGCUGGAAGAGCGUCAUAAGAAGACUUGAGACGCUGGAUGAAAUGAAGAACGUGGGAGAGCCAGGUCAGUAUUUUGAGCAGAUGCUAGAGGACCUGAAAAAAGCAAGUGAAGAGAACUAAAAGAGACUAGAAGAGGCAGCAAAGAAGUCUCUUGAGACGCUGGAUGGAGAAUAUAAGAAAAUUCUUGGUCCCCUAGCUGAAGAUAGGCGGGGAUACGUGGAAGAUCAAGAAAAAGUACAUCUUGCCACGCUUGGAUGAGGCAAAUAACAAGUUUCUAGAGGGGAUGUAAGAGUGUUCUAAGGAGACUCCAGAGACACUGGAUGAAAAAAAAAGAAUGUGAGAGAGCCAAAUGAGAAUUGUGUUAGGAGAAUGGAAGAGCAAAACAAGAAUUUUCUGGAGGGGCUGGAAGAGAAAUUUAAGAAGCUUCUUGAGAGGCCGGAAGAGAAUCCGCAGGGUUAAGGCCAGAGUAAUGUGAUUCUGGCAGUGCUGAAAAAACAAUACAAUGUGAUUCUGGAAAAAAAUCUGGAUCAAAAAAGGAGAUUGUUGGUUUUCGCCAGCCGCCGCAUGGUUGAAAUGGAGGGUGUUGUUAUGAGGCAGUGUCAGCUCUACAGAUUAAUUGGUGGAGAGAGGGAGAGAGUACUUUAAGUGGGAAAAAUAGGAACCUAAUGAACUGAAGGUAUAUCUCACCCGUUCCUUUGAUGUCGCAUGGCUUGAUGAAUUGAAAAAAAUGAAUACGUGGUUUGAUACCGAGAUUUUUGUAACGUGUUGACACUCACAUAUAAGGAACUGAAGACAGAGAGUGAAAGGAGCAGAAGGAGGAAUUGGGAACAGUGAUCGACGAAUUUGGAUUCGACGAUUCUCUAUUGGGUUAUGCUAAAGGUGCGCGUCCAGAACCAGAUGGUAUGCCUUGGCUAGGGGCAAAAAGGAUUUUUUGUGUGUGGGACAUUGGAGAAAACCACUUAUGCACUGUUAUUUUCCUGAUGGAGAAGCCAAGAUUGAUAUAUAUGACGGCAACAUUUCACUAACCAAAACAAAAUCACUGGAAAAGCUAGCCAAACCGCUUAAAAAGAUGUCUCCCAAGUUCCUCAAAUGUUGCGGUAAUAUGUUUGAAUUUUUUUUUUUUUUUUUUUGAGAAUGGUAAUGUUUAAUAUGUUCGAAUAUUUGGGAAAAGAGAAGCUGAACAAGGAGUGGAAGAUAAGUCGCCAUCCUAAAGUCCCACAAAAUCUCUCGGGUACAUCAUGUGGUCCUUACAGCCUGAGGUUUAUUGAGUUCGUUAUGGAUGAUCAACGUAUGGAUACUUGAGUGUAGAUUGAAUUCAGCUAUCCAAAUCUUUGGGCAAGAAAUGCUAACACUUACAAAGUAUGGCUUUGUAUGAUGUAUAUUUGGAUGUUUUAUAGAUGAUGAAAUGCAUAGUUUGUUGCUAAAUUAGCCAUUUCCGAUAUAGUAUCUACUGAGUAAAAUUUGUAAAAUCUUCCAGAUAUAGGGGCACAUUAAGACCCAAAAAUGGAUGGAGAAAGUUUGUAGUCAAUAAUAAUAUAAAGGUAGGAGAUCAUCUUGUUUUUAAGAUGUUACCAAAUUCAACUACAAUUUUGAGGUUUGAAGUUGAAAUUCGCCUUGCGGGCUUCAAUGAGCUUUUGUUCAAGAAGCAAUAUGACGAAGGAACCUUGUCAAAACCAAUUGAGGUUGAUUAGUCGUGUUGAUUUUAAUUUUAAUUUUCACGAUUAAAUUGUCUAAGAUAUUUGAUAUUUGCAAUGUUUACUACAGAUGAGAAAUAUCGAUUUGCAUGAGAAGAUACACUAUCGUAACAAUGCAUUUCACUUAAAUAUGGACUAGAAAAAGAACUAUAACGCUUGAAGUGGGAAGAUGAGACUAUAAGAUUGGAUGCACUAAGGAGAGGUUGAAAUUGAAAGAAAAGGAAUAGGGACAAGUUGAGCAACUACUAACGGGAACAAAAAGGGCUCUAUUGUCUGAACGUGACAUACCACUUCUUCGCGAACUGUAUAAGCUGAAAAAAAUAGUGAAUAGCAUGAUGGAGAAUAAAUAGAUUUUAGUGAUGAACACUUUAUGACCUAAUUACUUCUUAACUAGUAAUUUUUUUUUUUUAAAUGAUCCGCUAUCAUUCGUAUGAUAAACAGCAAGACGUAAAAUAAAGAAGUAGUUUUUAACGUAUAAAUAAGAUUAAGGUAUAAUAAAUAGCAAGACACAACACACUAUUAUUCGUAUAAUAAAAUGGACAUGUGUCACCCAUCCAAGUAAGAACUUGGGUACAUGGAGAGGAGCUAAAUCCCUCGUGUAUUCAACCUAUGUUGAAUUUUCUUAAACUGUACAGUAUUUAUCAACUUUGUAAUGAUGGUACUCUAUCUCUUCAUGUUUACCCGCAACAAUGUAGUAAUUAAUACAAAAUUUUUUGCGGCAAGGUUCCAUUCUAUAAAGCUCUGUGUGGGGUGGUAGAACUUUUACAACAAAUUGUUAUUCCAUUUAGCACCUUGAACUU